AUUGAACGCUGGCGGCAGGCCUAACACAUGCAAGUCGAGCGGGGUUUUCGGACCUAGCGGCGGACGGGUGAGUAAUGCGUAGGAAGCUGCCCGAUAGAGGGGGAUACCAGUUGGAAACGACUGUUAAUACCGCAUAAUGUCUACGGACCAAAGUGUGGGACCUUCGGGCCACAUGCUAUCGGAUGCGCCUACGUGGGAUUAGCUAGUUGGUGAGGUAAUGGCUCACCAAGGCGACGAUCGCUAGCUGGUUUGAGAGGAUGAUCAGCCACACUGGAACUGAGACACGGUCCAGACUCCUACGGGAGGCAGCAGUGGGGAAUAUUGGACAAUGGGCGCAAGCCUGAUCCAGCCAUGCCGCGUGUGUGAAGAAGGCCUUCGGGUUGUAAAGCACUUUCAGUGAGGAGGAAGGGUGGUGUGUUAAUAGCACAUCAUUUUGACGUUACUCGCAGAAGAAGCACCGGCUAACUCUGUGCCAGCCGCCGCUGUAA
rnacentral:rRNA from 1 species